GGUUGGGGGAGUGCUGAAGGAGGGGAGGGUGAAAACAUUUAGUUCCCAAUGACAUGCCCUCUUAUUAGAGGAUUUAGGUAUGACAGGUUGGGCAAGGAAAGAAUUUGGGGGAUUGGGAGAGCUACAUCUUGAUACCUGUCGAGUCAUAGCCGUUUAGUAUUCUGAGCUACUUUUCUUCUCUUUCUGCCUAUGUUUCUUUUAAAAAGAUCUCCUAGCACAAAGUAGCCCUUAAAUAAGUUAUAAUGAUUAAUGUCAGUACUAAUAAGUCAAGAACAUAAACAACAUAGACACAUAGCCCAGUAUAAGCACAUAAAUGCUUGGAGGUACCAGGUAUAGAUGUAGAUAAAUUUUGUUAGAAUUUCUGAAGUGUCAAUGGAGAUUUUGAAAUCUCUGCUUCCCUGAUGGUGGAAACAGUCUGAACAAAGAUAAGGAGAGGGCAGGCCUAGUAGAAUGAAACUCUAUAAUGUCAUUAUUGGCUCUACUGAGAAAGAGCCCCAUCUUGCUGGUCAGGAGACCAGCAAAAGGUGAUUCUAGGAGCUGAAGAAUGUGAGGGAAAUCCUGGAGAGGAAAGAAGGGGAGAAAGGGAUUCCAUGUAUGAACAAGCAUAAGUCCUAGACUUUACCUCCAAAUUCUGCAUGUGUGGAAUACACCCAAAAGCACAGCAUAGUCUUUGGAACCUGAACUGAGAGUGGAACCUCUGCACACAGAAGGAGUUACAUAACACUCCAUAUAUAAUACCUAAGAUAUAAUCCAAAAUUACCCGAUGUGCUAAGAACCAGGAAAAUCUGACCAGUUCUCAAAGGAAAAGACUGAAAGCCUUUUGAACUACAUGCUGACAGGAGUGCAGCUGACAACACAGUGACCUAGAUCUGCUGCCAGGGGUGCCAGAUGAGCAAGAAAACCCACAAAAUUCAAGGCCUCAGAAUCUGAAUGGGCCACUCAUCAAGGAGGAGCUGGAAAAAGCCUUGAGGGAGUCCAGAAAUUGAAGCUCUCAUCCUGGCUCCUUCAUUCAGUAGCUCUAUGACCACAGGCAAAUCAUUUAGCCACUGAAGUUCAGUUUCAUCAUUGGUAAAAUGUAAGAAAAAUGACUGACAGUUUAUCUUCACUUAGAGCUUAGAGCUAUCAUUCAUUAAUAAAUAUAUCACCACAUUCCCACCAGAGGUGAGGAAGAAUUGGGCUGUUUACAGCCCAAAUAUCGGGAUACCAUAUCAUUACAAACAAGGCUGAAUGUGAAAAAGAUGUCUGAACUUGGCAUCUAUAGUGGUGAUGUGCUUAGCACAUCCAUGAGGUGAUGUGCUAAGAAUAGUGGAGCAGCAAGAUAGAAGGAGUUGGGUCCCUGACUCCUGGAACCACCAUCCCAACCCUGGGUUAUUUUCUGUUGGACCUCUUUGCCAUAAGAGAGAAAUGAUUUCUAUCUUCUUUAGACUACUGUUAUUUUAGUUUUCUUGUCACAUGUAAACUUAGCCCUAACUGAUAAAAUAAUCAUCUAUUCAAGACCCUAGUGCUAAAUGCUGCACCUGCUGUAAAGAUAUAAAGGUUUUAGAUACACAAAGAAUUGAGCAGGAAGGCUCUGUCUGGUGUGAAGGAAAUGCUAAGAAAGGUUUGGCCUGGUAGGGCUAUGUGGAUAUGAAGAGGAUUUUAUAAGACGAAGCCAGGGAAUAUUAUGGAAGGAGCUUAAAUACCAAACUAAUGACAUUGGACUUCACCCAGUGAUGGACAAAUAGAGCAAGUAAGCUUGCCUCCAAUUUGUGAAUGAAGAAAAGCCUUAUCAGAUUAUAGGACUUGUUCAAGGAUACCCAGCUGGUAAGCUGCAGAGCCAGAACCAAUCUCAAUUCUGACACUUGCACCAGUGCCAUCCCAUUGUUCUGAUGUCUUUGACGGAAUCUGGGGAAAAAGAGUAGGAAUGGAGAUUUUGCACUUUGGCAUAGCCAGGGAACUAGACUGUGCCCCUCUUCAUACCCCCACACCGCUAAGAGGAAGCUUUGGCGGGUUGCUAGAAGUUUAGGAUCCAGACCUACCUUGAAGUCAGAGGACCUUCUCGGCUUCCUGCUUAAGCAGCCCCAUGAGGCUACAGUGUGGCCAAGGUGCUGCUUUGCUAUGUGGUAAGUUCUCAUGUGGCAGGCACAGUGCUGGGCACUCUGUACACAUUAUGUAAUUUAGUGCCUUCAGUAGUUUGACAAGAAAGUUAUAAUACCACUCCUAUCUUACAACAAAGAUGUAGAAACUGAGGCUCUAAGAAAUGAAACCACCAACCAAAGUUGAUGGCAGAGUUGAACUUCAAAGCCACAUUUGUUCAACUCCAAAGCUGAGUUCUUAGCCCCACAUUCUAAUGUCUUCCCAAUCCCUGUCGCCAAAGCAUGGAAUAGUAUCCUAUUACUACUACUCAGACAACAAGGACUUACCUGGUUUAGUAGGCUGACGGGUA